UGCCUAACCCUCGUAGUUUAUCUACGAGAUAUGGCAGAAAAUCCGUCCAAGGCACUGAACCCCGUAUCAGCAAGCCUUGGACGGUCAUAAUCCGAAAGGGUUGUGUGUGGCGAAAGCCACC
rnacentral:sRNA from 1 species